rnacentral:rRNA from 1 species
UACGGAGGGUGCGAGCGUUGUCCGGAAUCACUGGGCGUAAAGGGCGCGUAGGCGGCGCGGGCAGUCAACGGUGAAAGCUUGGGGCUCAACCCCGAGUCGGCCGUCGAUACUCCCGGGCUGGAGCACUGUAGAGGCAGGUGGAAUUCCGGGUGUAGCGGUGGAAUGCGUAGAGAUCCGGAAGAACACCGGUGGCGAAGGCGGUGAGCUGGGCAGUAGCUGACACUGAGGCGCGACAGCGUGGGGAGCAACAGG